GGGUGGUGCCGGCCGCUCUUACUUUGUGUAGUCCUCUUCACUCUCGUCAUGUCGUUGCCGCCGCCGAGGAAGACGGAGAGCCUGUCGGAGGGAUGAGCGCCAUGGCCAGUUCUGACCUCCUCCGUCCAGAUCCAGCUCCAGGACUGAAGAAGAGAACAUGGGGAGCAGCAGCUGCCCUCUGCUCUGCUCUUAUGCGAAUGCUCUACUGCAGGACCGUGGCAGCGAUGCUCGCCAAAGCGGACGACAACCACUCCCGUGCAAACAAAGGUGAGCAUUCAGGAAAAGAACACUUGGCUGAACUUCAGGAAAAAGAUGCACCGAAUCUUACACCUGCACCAAGACAUACAACAAAGAAAUGAUUAAAUGAAAUGAUCAAGUGAUGAAGUGAUGGAAUGAUCAAGUGAUGAAAUGAUGGAAUGAUCAAGUGUAACUGUACCUGGAUUUUGAACAAUUUCAUCUCCUUCCAUUCCCUCUCCAUCAUCUCCUUCCAUAUCAUCUCCUACAUGUCCUUCCAUUUCAUUUUCUGCAUUUUCAUCCAUUUCAUCCACAUCUUCUGCAGGUGGAGUGAAGUUGAGGUCUGGGAGAUCCAUUUUCUCCUGAAGAUAUGAAUAUAUAAUUUGGUCGAAAAGGGACGACAUGCUGAGGUGUACAACAUUCAGUUUCUCUUUCGACAUGCUGAGCUCUAUAAGUGCUCACAUUCUUUGUAUGGAUCUUAUUGAAUGAGUACUUGUUAACAUUGGUACCAUUUUCUUCAGAUUUUCGUUGGUGGUCUUCUGAUUGAUUUGGAAGGAAGAAUUGUUGGUAUGAAUUUCAUAGACGAGAAUAAAACUCCCUUUUUGCCCGUCCAGAUUGUUGGGAGAUGCCUGAAACACUUCAGAAA